UACGUAGGGUGCAAGCGUUGUCCGGAAUUAUUGGGCGUAAAGAGCGUGUAGGCGGCCCGAUUAGUCCGCUGUGAAAGUCCAGGGCUCAACCCUGGAAUGCCGGUGGAUACUGUCGGGCUAGAGUCCGGAAGGGGCGAGUGGAAUUCCUGGUGUAGCGGUGAAAUGCGUAGAGAUCGGGAGGAACACCAGUGGCGAAGGCGGCUACCUGGACCAGCACUGACACUGAGGCACGAAAGCGUGGGGAGCAAACAGG
rnacentral:rRNA from 1 species